rnacentral:lncRNA from 1 species
UUGAUUUAGGAUUUAGGAUUUUAUUAGGAUUUGAUUUAGGAUUUAGGAUUUUAUUAGGAUUUGAUUUAGAAUUAGGAUUUAGUUAAGGUUUGAUUUAGAGUUUAGAAUUUGUUUAGGAUUUGAUUUAGGAUUAGGAUUUGAUUUAGGAUUAGAAUUUGGUUAAGAUUUUUUUAGAGUUAGGAUUUUGUUUUUGUAAUUUCCAUUCUACCUUCUAUAGUGAGGUUACCUAGAGCAUUUUUAAGCAAUACUUCAUUUAUUAUGACAAUGGACUUAAGAAUGAUUCAAAA